UACGAAGGGGGCUAGCGUUACUCGGAUUGACUGGGCGUAAAGGGCGCGUAGGCGGUUUGUACAGUCAGACGUGAAAUUCCUGGGCUCAACCUGGGGGCUGCGUUUGAUACGUGCGGACUUGAGUUCGGAAGAGGGUCGUGGAAUUCCCAGUGUAGAGGUGAAAUUCGUAGAUAUCGGGAGGAACACCGGUGGCGAAGGCGGCGACCUGGGUGGAUACUGACGCUGAGGUGCGAAAGCGUGGGGAGCAAACAGG
rnacentral:rRNA from 1 species